GCUGACCUCAGUGACAGAUGAGCUGGCUGUGGCCACCGAGAUGGUGUUCAGGCGGCAGGAGAUGGUUACGCAGCUGCAACAGGAGCUCCGGAAAGAAGAGGAGAACACCCACCCCCGGGGGCGGGUGCAGCUGCUGGGCAAGAGGCAGGUGCUGCAAGAAGCACUGCAGGGGCUGCAGGUAGCGCUCUGCGGCCAGGCCAAGCUGCAGGCCCAGCAGGAGUUGCUGCAGACCAAGCUGGAGCAGCUGGGCCCCGGUGAGCCCCCGCCUGUGCUGCUCCUGCAGGAUGACCGCCACUCCACGUCGUCCUCGGAGCAGGAGCGAGAGGGGGGAAGGACGCCCACGCUGGAGAUCCUUAAGAGCCACAUCUCAGGAAUCUUCCGCCCCAAGUUCUCGAACCUGUACCGCCUGGAAGGGGAAGGCUUUCCCAGCAUUCCUUUGCUCAUCGACCACCUACUGAGCACCCAGCAGCCCCUCACCAAGAAGAGUGGUGUCGUCCUGCACAGGGCUGUGCCCAAGGACAAGUGGGUGCUGAACCAUGAGGACCUGGUGUUGGGUGAGCAGAUUGGACGGGUGAGUGCGCCUCUGCUGGCCUCCUUGUUGCUGGCGGCUUCUCCCGAGUCGCGCCUAGGCCUCCUGCCCUACCACCCAGAGACCUCCCUGCCCCAUCUGAUUCCCCACUUGUACCCCGACUCCCUGCCCAGCCCCCACCACACACCGUCCUCCAGGAAACGGGACAGUACCUACCCUGAAAACUCCCAGCAGACAGCUCUGCCGGCACCCUGACCUCAUCACCCCCACCCAGGCCGCCCCCGUCGAGCUCUUGUGUGCACGCAGGGAGACACCCUGUUACUGUAAGCCAUAAGAUACC
rnacentral:sRNA from 1 species